CACUAAUGAAGCUACUGAUUAGCGCUAGUCUUUUAAGCUAGAGUAGGGGGCCAACAACCUCACCGCCCCCCAUAGUGA
rnacentral:tRNA from 1 species